GUUUUAAUAGUUUAAACAAAACAUUGGUCUUGUAAAUCAAAAACGAAAAAAAAAUUCUUAAAACU
rnacentral:tRNA from 1 species